rnacentral:rRNA from 1 species
AUUGAACGCUGGCGGCAGGCCUAACACAUGCAAGUCGAGCGGAGCGGCGGACGGGUGCGUAAUGCCUAGGAAUCGGACUGGUAGUGGGGGAUAACGUACGGAAACGGGCGCUAAUACCGCAUAAUAUCAGAAGAGCCUAGGGCGGAUUAGCUAGUUGGUGGGGUAAAGGCCUACCAAGGGGACGAUCCGUAACUGGUCUGAGAGGAUGAUCAGUCACACUGUAACUGCGACACGGUCCAGACUCCUACGGGAGGCAGCAGGGGUGAAUAUUGGACAAUGGGCGAAAGCCUGAUCCACCCAGGCCGCGUGUGUUAAGAAGGUCUUCUGAUUGUAAAGCACUUUAAGUUGGGAGGCGUUACCAACAGAAUAAGCACCGGCUAACUUCGUGCCAGCAGCCGCGGUAAUUC